AAUCGUAUUUUCUAAUCAGAUUAAUCACCUAAAUUCAUUUAAAUAUCUUUUUUUUUCAGCUCUUCUUAUAGGAGAAACCCAGUCAACAGUUCCUCAGUAAUGUCCAGCUUCUCAGAGAGAUUAAGGAAUCGAAUGCAAAUAUUCUUCACUGCCUUGAAAUAAUUUGUACAAAACCCAUUAAUUCAAGUCCAUAACUGGGACAAACCCAGCAAUUUUUGGGGUUGAUUUUGAGUGGAUGGAGAAGUCAACAGCUAUCUCUACUUGCCAAGGAAAAGAGAAUCCCUUGAGUUUCCAGAACCUGCUGCCGGACACGCAGUCUUCUCUCCAGGUCGAAGGGUGCUCUGCAUGGGAAGAUAAUGGAGGUGCCGGCCAGACUGGAUGGAACUGAAUAAUUAAAGAAGCUUGUAAAUUAUGUUGCCAUCAAAUACUGGAGGAUACGGUCCUGCUGCAGGAAAAGAACCGCCUCUUGUGUAUCUGAGGCAUUUUUCAGAAGAUAUUAAGGAUGAAUAUUGGAUGCAUAAUUAGGUUUUCUUGAAGGUAUGUUGGUAUGCUAGAGGUAGAUCAUGCAAUAAUUUCUAUUAUCCCACAUUACCUAUACUUUGACUGAGCAGUUGUAUCACUGCUUGUAUUUCUGCAUCUCUAGUUGAUAUUUUUCUAGAAUAAAUAUAUUUCAGAAAAUGGAAGAUUAUAGUUGCUGCUCUCUACCUGCAACAUGCCUUUUUUUAUUUCUUUCUCUUCAUUUUAUUCCCUUUACAUAUUUUCAUCCCCCCUUUAAUUUAAUGGGAACCAUACACAGACGUCAGGCAGAUAAAUGUACUGAAACCUGGUUAGCAUUUAAUCUCUUUUUAGAUAAAUGCAAAUAUUGCUGUCGAUGGUACCGGAGCCUUGUCCAGCAGUCAUCUGAGGAACUUGCUCAUCCAUUUUUCAGUGUGUCCAUUACUAUCAGUCAUGAAGAUUGUGAUCCAGAAUAUUCGUUCUUGACGAAAACAAUAGAAUUAAGCCACAGGGCUUCAGAAAAUUGCUUUCAUAUUCAAGCAGUGCUACACAUAUACAGACACCUUGUUGAUGAUUUUCCUGCCCUGAAGAAAAUAUAUUGCUGCUGCCACAAACCUGUCUUUUGGCACUUUGUCACUUACAAGUGAUGAUAAAAUUGCAACAAAGAGACUUCUUUUUAAUCUCAUAGGUCAUCGUUUGUACUCUGGACAGUCCUCCCUUUGUCCUCUCAUUUAGUUUAGAUAAGGUGGAAAAAUCCUCUUAGUUGCUUCUAAACAUCUCUUAAAAAUACAAAAUCAAAAAAUUCAUCCUCGAUGUACCCUCAAAUUUUGAACAUGACAACUUUUUUCUUCAUGUUUCUCAUCUAGAUCAAAAGCUCUGUGUACAUUUUAAAUUUUUUUUUUUUUGGCAGCUGAAUUGCAGGCAGACUUUUUGAUUUAUAGAUUUGCAUCAAACUGUAAACCUUAAGAGAGACAUUUAAUCCCUUUAAUUUUGUGAGAAUCCCAGAAUCAUGUGAUAAUUGUAUUACUGAAUUUCUGACCUUUAUUAUAUCCAUUUGUUACUGCUAAAUGCUUAGCAUAAUUUUUUAAAUUCAGUCAUCCAGGCCAGCAAUUCAAAGUUGCAGAAAACUUGUGACAGUUAGAAAGACAGAAAAAUUCUGAAUAAAUCCACGUACAUGUUGAAUAUUUUGAAGCUAGACUUUCACACCAUUUGUACAAACAGCAAUUUAUCUGUCUACAUUCUGUUUGAUUUUUUUUUUUCUACAUUUGUUGGGAGAUUUUUCUCAUCUUUGUCAGCUUCCUCUUCUGCUUUAUAACUCAGUGUAGUCCCAAACCUCUCUGUGACAUAAAAAGUCCACUGCCAUGGGAUUUUGAUGCAGCAAAUGCAGCAUUUUGUCUCCUGUCUGCACUCUCUUCCAGUCUGUCUCUUCCAGUUGGAGGUAUGGAAAGAGCAAAGAAGAAAAAGAGGCUUAAAAUCUCCUGAAAAGGGCAGCAGAAGAAGGUACCCUUGCAGUAUGUUUUCCUCUGUCCACACUGUACAUCAGGCUUGUCUGCUCCUCUCCUGUACAUCUGACAACUGGUAUCCAGGAACAAGACAGGGUAGGAAUGAGGUGGAACCAAAACUGGUGUCAUACUUUUUAUGUCGGGGUUAAACAUACUGUUUAGAAAAAUUAAGGGGUGCUAUCAAUACCUAGGACAGUUUCUCUACCUUUUCUCUCUUACUUUGGUCCCCCUGAUUACCACCAAGCAGAGGCUGUGAAGGCAUUACACGUUCCCUAGGACAAAGGAGCAGUCAGCUCCUGCAAUCCCCAUUGCACACAAGGGCUUGAAGAGAAAGGAAGAGACAGACCCAGAAAUUCAAAGUUUACUGAUUUGAGAACAACCUCCAGAAGCCUAGGACAUUCACGGUUCCUCCUGUCAGAAAGCCAAGCAUUAAGAACUACAGAAAUGGACACUUAGGUGCCUAAAUAACCAUUAAAGGCCAAACUCUCUGUAAGUGCCCAUGGGAAACAAGCCUUAUCACUCUGGGUGAGGGGAUCCUUGCGUUCAAACUGAUCACUACUGAGGAUAAUAGACAGAUUACUCAUUUACCUGGAUUUGGCCCCUAUGAAUAGAAAAGUCCUGGGCCUCCUGCCAGUGUCACCUUCCCUUGUCUCAUAAAGUCACUGCAGAUUCACCGAUAUAAACUGGCAAAAGCAGAAUUAGCCACAAUGAGCAUUCUUGCUUCUUUGUGGGACUCUUCACAGAGUGGGCUGAACUUGAAGAUAACGGACCACCAUUGUCUAGUUUAAUUGUACUGCUUGAAAACCUUCACAAUAAAUAAAGAUGCAUGCCUAAA